rnacentral:rRNA from 1 species
GACGGGGGGGCAAGCGUUCUUCGGAAUGACUGGGCGUAAAGGGCUCGUAGGCGGUGAAUCGGGUUGAAAGUGAAAGUCGCCAAACAGUGGCGGAAUGCUCUCGAAACCAAUUCACUUGAGUGAGACAGAGGAGAGUGGAAUUUUGUGUGUAGGGGUGAAAUCCAUAGAUCUACGAAGGAACGCCAAAAGCGAAGGCAGCUCUCUGGGUCCCUACCGACGCUGGGGUGCGAAAGCAUGGGGAGCGAACAGG